rnacentral:rRNA from 1 species
GACGAACGCUGGCGGCGUGCCUAAUACAUGCAAGUAGAACGCUGAAGGAGGAGCUUGCUUCUCUGGAUGAGUUGCGAACGGGUGAGUAACGCGUAGGUAACCUGCCUGGUAGCGGGGGAUAACUAUUGGAAACGAUAGCUAAUACCGCAUAAUAGUAGAUGUUGCAUGACAUUUGCUUAAAAGGUGCAAUUGCAUCACUACCAGAUGGACCUGCGUUGUAUUAGCUAGUUGGUGGGGUAACGGCUCACCAAGGCGACGAUACAUAGCCGACCUGAGAGGGUGAUCGGCCACACUGGGACUGAGAAACGGCCCAGACUCCUACGGGAGGCAGCAGUAGGGAAUCUUCGGCAAUGGACGGAAGUCUGACCGAGCAACGCCGCGUGAGUGAAGAAGGUUUUCGGAUCGUAAAGCUCUGUUGUAAGAGAAGAACGAGUGUGAGAGUGGAAAGUUCACACUGUGACGGUAUCUUAACAGAAAGGGACGGCUAACUACGUG